GAUCAUGGCUCAGGAUGAACGCUAGCUACAGGCUUAACACAUGCAAGUCGAGGGGCAGCAUGAUCGAAGCUUGCUUGAUGAUGGCGACCGGCGCACGGGUGAGUAACGCGUAUCCAACCUUCCUUUAGUAGAGGACUAGCCCGGCGAAAGUCGGAUUAAUACUCUAUGUUGUAUUUAGAAGACAUCUGAAGAAUACCAAAGGUUUACCGCUAAAGGAUGGGGAUGCGUCUGAUUAGGUUGUUGGCGGGGUAACGGCCCACCAAGCCGACGAUCAGUAGGGGUUCUGAGAGGAAGGCCCCCACAUUGGAACUGAGACACGGUCCAAACUCCUACGGGAGGCAGCAGUGAGGAAUAUUGGUCAAUGGACGAAAGUCUGAACCAGCCAAGUAGCCGUGCAGGAUGACGGCCCUAUGGGUUGUAAACUGCUUUUAUAUAGGGAUAAAGUCGGGGACGUGUUCCCGUUUGUAGGUACUAUAUGAAUAAGGACCGGCUAAUUCCGUGCCAGCAGCCGC
rnacentral:rRNA from 1 species